AGGUUCUGUCAAAAAUGCUGUACACCAUGUCGGAAACCUGAUGGAAACUAUUAAAGCUAAUGGGGUCCAUCAGACGUUUUUCCUGUUCGGAACGUCCCCAGCUAAGAUGAACUGUACUCUCAGUACCAAGCAUAUGUCAUGGCCCUAAGUGCUGGGAGCAGCUGACUUGACUGGAGAGAGACUUGUGCUAUACUGCCUUGAGAAUAAACAGACAAGUUAUAUUAGCUGGAAAAAGUUGUUCUGGAGGCCACUUGUGAGUGACAGCUCCGGGAGCUCAGUGAAAAUGAUUAAAUCCAACUCUCAAAGAAAAGGAGCCCCGUAGACACAGAUUCUGGGUGCAUCCAUUCCUUCAGGAGUGCUAAAGGCUUCCUUUUGGUGCUUUAUCAGGAUUUCAGAAGCUUCUGGAGUUCCUAAAAGAUGACUUGACUAUGAACACAUUUAUAUGAAGCCCAAUUUCCCCCGAGGAUUGUUUGCUCAUCACCUUGUGGUA